rnacentral:rRNA from 1 species
UAAGGAAUAUUGGACAAUGGUCGCAAGACUGAUCCAGCCAUGCCGCGUGCAGGAAGACGGCCCUAUGGGUUGUAAACUGCUUUUGUACCAGAGAAAACCUAUCUACGUGUAGAUAGCUGAUAGUGUGGUAAGGAUAAGCAUCGGCUAACUUCGUGCCAGCAGCCGCGGUAAGACGAAGGAUGCAAGCGUUAUCCGGAUUCAUUGGGUUUAAAGGGUGCGUAGGCGGGCUUGUAAGUCAGUGGUGAAAUCUCUCAGCUUAACUGAGAAACUGCCAUUGAUACUGCAGGCCUAGAGUAUAGAUGACGUUGGCGGAAUAUGACAUGUAGUGGUGAAAUACUUAGAUAUGUCAUAGAACACCGAUUGCGAAGGCAGCUAACGAAACUAUAACUGACGCUGAGGCACGAAAGUGCGGGGAUCAAACA